rnacentral:rRNA from 1 species
AUACAUGCAAGUCGAACGCUUCUUUUUCCACCGGAGCUUGCUCCACCGGAAAAAGAAGAGUGGCGAACGGGUGAGUAACACGUGGGUAACCUGCCCAUCAGAAGGGGAUAACACUUGGAAACAGGUGCUAAUACCGUAUAACAAUCAAAACCGCAUGGUUUUGAUUUGAAAGGCGCUUUCGGGUGUCGCUGAUGGAUGGACCCGCGGUGCAUUAGCUAGUUGGUGAGGUAACGGCUCACCAAGGCCACGAUGCAUAGCCGACCUGAGAGGGUGAUCGGCCACAUUGGGACUGAGACACGGCCCAAACUCCUACGGGAGGCAGCAGUAGGGAAUCUUCGGCAAUGGACGAAAGUCUGACCGAGCAACGCCGCGUGAGUGAAGAAGGUUUUCGGAUCGUAAAACUCUGUUGUUAGAGAAGAACAAGGAUGAGAGUAACUGUUCAUCCCUUGACGGUAUCUAACCAGAAAGCCACGGCUAACUACGUGCCAGCAGCCGCGGUAAUACGUAGGUGGCAAGCGUUGUCCGGAUUUAUUGGGCGUAAAGCGAGCGCAGGCGGUUUCUUAAGUCUGAUGUGAAAGCCCCCGGCUCAACCGGGGAGGGUCAUUGGAAACUGGGAGACUUGAGUGCAGAAGAGGAGAGUGGAAUUCCAUGUGUAGCGGUGAAAUGCGUAGAUAUAUGGAGGAACACCAGUGGCGAAGGCGGCUCUCUGGUCUGUAACUGACGCUGAG